UCCUGCUCUGAACUUCAGCUGGUUUAAGGAGAAUGAAACAGAGUUUCUGUCUGGACAGAGUUUCAGUGCACUACAGAGUGGACGCUUCUACUGUCAGGCUCACAAUCAACAUGGAUCUCAGAGAUCAGACGCUGUAACUGUGACUGUUAAAGAUCAUCUGGUGAUAUUGUACAUGUCCAUUGGAGUGGUUUGUGGAGCUGCAGUUGUCCUUACGAUGUUGCUCAUUUGGAGAAGCAGGAUGAAAAAGAGAAAUGACACACUGGAGUCUCAGAUGAAUCAGUCCAGACCUCAUCCUGACAGAAAUCAAGCUUCUGAUGUUGAGUUCAACGAACCUGUUUAUGAAAAUGUAAUGGUACGUUCAUGUUAUAAUUAUCAUCAGCUGGUGUGGAUGCUAAUAUAGUUAUUUAUUUUGUGUGCAUAUUCUGUUUUUUUUUUUUUUCUUUAAUGGCAAAGAUUAAUCAGUCCAGACCUCAUCAUACGGGACGUCAAGCUCCUGAUGUUAAGUUGACUGAACCUGUUUAUGAAAAUUUAACACCUGUGAUGAAGAAGCCAUAGUGUUUUGGACAAAUGGCAAAAUAUUUUACAGCUUUUAUCUUUCUCUCUGUGGGUGGAGCUCUGAAUGAUUGACAGGAGUGUCACGAGUCACAUUUAUUUGUUUAGCAGAUGGUUUUAUCCAAAGUGAUUUACAAACGAUGAACAUAAUUUAACAAUAUUUACUACUACACAAUGUCAGGUUUAAAGUACAAGCUAGAUCAAUGCUGGAGGUUAAGUGAAAUGCAAUAUAAAUAUUGUCAGUAUAAAUAAGUCUGUCCCAGUGAAGAUGUCAUACUCUGCAUGUUCUUUGCACCACCUGCUGGUGACUACAAACCAAUGCAUCAUUUUUUCUUUCCUUAAUUAAUUAAAGUGGAUCUGUGAUUUUCAUUGUGAAAUAAAAAUCUUCUAAAGCUAAA